CCCAGACUUUCUGUGGUUGUCCAAUCACAGAUUUCCCAAUGUCUCUUGAGUCUAGCUCCACUGAGCUAACCAAACCAGGAAGUAACAGGACCAGUUGUCCGUUUGACAGCCAAGGGGUUGUAAAAAGGUUAAUUUAUAAAAGUGUAAAUUUCUAUUGAGAUCUGCACUGUUUGUAAAAUGAAAAAAUGGAGGACACAUGCUUCACACAUUUAGAGGUCUGUAGUGUCCCUUUAAUAAAAAAACAUUUAUUUAUUCACUCACAAAUUAAAAAUAUAUUUUCCAGCAUAAUACAUUAAUGGAGGUCAUUCAGGCUUCCUCUCCAGCUCAACAAUACGAUGCUCUUC